rnacentral:rRNA from 1 species
UUGUCCUACGGGAGGCAGCAGUGAGGAAUAUUGGUCAAUGGGCGGGAGCCUGAACCAGCCAAGCCGCGUGAAGGAAGAAGGCGCCAAGCGUCGUAAACUUCUUUUGUCGGGGAACAAAGGGCGCCACGUGUGGCGUUGUGAGUGUACCCGAAGAAAAAGCAUCGGCUAACUCCGUGCCAGCAGCCGCGGUAAUACGGAGGAUGCGUGCGUUAUCCGGAUUUAUUGGGUUUAUAGGGUGCGUAGGCGGUCCGGUAAGUCAGCG